GACGAACGCUGGCGGCGUGCUUAACACAUGCAAGUCGAGCGGAAAGGCCCUUCGGGGUACUCGAGCGGCGAACGGGUGAGUAACACGUGAGUAACCUGCUCCAGACUUUGGGAUAACCCUCGGAAACGGGGGCUAAUACCGGAUACGACACAGCUUCGCAUGGGGUCUGUGUGGAAAGGUUUUCGGUUUGGGAUGGGCUCGCGGCCUAUCAGCUCGUUGGUGGGGUGGUGGCCUACGAAGGCGCAGACGGGCAGCCCGCCCGAGAGGGCGACCGGGCACACUAGGACUGAGAGAGGGCGCAGUCGCGUACGGGAGGCAGUAGGGGGGAAUAUGGCACAGUGGGCGGAAGCCUGAUGCAGCGGCGCCGCGUGAGGGAUGACCGCCUUCUGGUUGUAAACAUCUGUCAGCAGGGACGAAGCGUAAGUGACGGUACCUGCAGAAGAAGCGCCGGCCAACUACGUG
rnacentral:rRNA from 1 species